rnacentral:rRNA from 1 species
ACCGACACAGGUGGUCAGGUAGAGUAUACCAAGGCGCUUGAGAGAACUAUGUUGAAGGAACUCGGCAAUUUACCUCCGUAACUUCGGGAUAAGGAGGCCUUCUGUUUGGGCAACCAGGCAGGAGGGGCACAGACUAGGGGGUGGCGACUGUUUACCUAAAACACAGGGCUCUGCGAAGCCGUAAGGCGACGUAUAGGGUCUGAC